GCGGAGCAGCGGCUGCCCCCGACCCGGCGCGCGCCCCGCGCUUCCGGCGGCCGGGAAGGGCAGGGUGCCUGUGGGCCGCGUGUCCUGAGCGCAGGUCCUUCGGUCCUGGGAGGGAGCCGUGGGCGGAUUUCAGCCCUCCGGGCCGGUCAGUCUUGCUCCGAGACCCUGGAGAUGCGAUAAGCGGCAGGAGCUGGUGUCGCGCCGCGAGUUUGGGAAGAAUCCCCGGCGGCUGGGAGGCCGGACGGCCGCCCUGCCUUAAACCCAGGGCCGAUUUCUUCGGGCCUCAGCGGCCCGCCUCGCACUUUCCGGCCGCCCUGCAGCCCCUCCUCCGGUCCACUGUUUGGCCAUCUAUCUGGCUCCUCGCCAAGCAGGGUGGCCUUGAAGCCUUAUGUUCAGAAGUCGCACCGACCUGGAGGCCCGGGUGCGCGGAAGGGGCACUGCAACGACCAGUUUACAAAGAGCCCCAGGACCAGAGGACCGGACUGCUCUUACUGUAGUUCUUGUGAAAAAGAAAAGGAGCCAAUGUUUCCAUUAAUGCUUCAAGAAUGUUCAGAACUCGACGGCGCCAAAGGAUUGCAGAGCAGAGCGGCUGAAGAGCCGUGAACAAUUCCAAAGGCUGUGGCCUCCAUUCCCAGUGAAGCCCGAAUUACAACUUGCCAACCUACUAAGCCUUCCUCCUCCUCUUUCACGUGGAUCCGCGUUUCUUGUUCUUCAUUGCUUCGUCUUCCCUUAGAGCGAAGGAAUCUGUCAUUUAACGGGGGAUACACCGAGGAGCCGAGAGUUUAUCUUUUCAGCCUGUGUCACAGUUGGAGGGAAAGUUGCUAAGUGACUUCUUAAGAAGAGAGCGAGUAGGGCAUUUUCUGUUUUCCCUUCACAAAACAUUUUGUUGUUGUUUGAGGCCUUAGUUGUUUUUUAUUUUUUCCUUCCGGUGGGCCCCCCACCCCACCCCCCGUCCAGAGAGGUUCAGGUCCCUGGAAGAGAAACUUUACCGAUGUGAUUACGUUAAGAAUCUUAAAGAGAUUAUCCUGGAUGGUCCAGUGGGCCCAGUGUAAUCGGAAAGGUCCUUACCAGUAGGAGGUGGGCGCGUCAGAGUCCAUGUGUCAAUGGAAGCAGCGGCUGGAGUGGAUGCAGUGGGAGAAAGACCCAGCCGAACAGUGAUGGCUUUGAACAUUGGAGGAAGGGGACCCAGGUCCCAGAAUGCAGGUGGCCUCGGAAAGGGAGAAAAAGUCGGGAAACAGAGUCUUCCUUUGAGCCUCCAGGGGGAACACAGUCUUGGCGACACCUUGAAUUGAGCCCACUGAGACCAACUGUGGACUUGCGGCCUUCGGAGCAGGAAGGUAAGACACAUGCGUUCUAUUUAAGCCACUACAUUUGAGGUGAUUUAUCCCAGCAGCAGUAGGAGACUCAUACCCCGCCAAAGGGGAAAUUCCUGCCCUUCUUUCCACUUUAAUGGAAAGAAGGGGGUUCCCUGGAGACAGAAGACCACUGGACUGGAGCUGUUGGGAGGGGAGUGCGCGCCUGCGGUUGGGGGAGGAGUGGUAGGGGCUCCCUGGACAUACGCACAUCCUUCGUCAUUCCAAAGGGGUGAAAGCCAGCACCACGGGCUGUUAUCUGUGUGGCACUUCCACGCACUGUUUUAGCCUUUAACUCCAUGUGGCCACUUUUAUUUCCCUUGUUAUUGGCCUGGAAGACGCCCAGAUGGUAUUCAUCUUUUUUUUUUUUUUCUUUUUAGGGCCACACCUGCAGCAUAUGGUUCCCAGGCUCGGGGUUGAUUGGAGCUCCAACUGCCUGCACCACAGCCACAGCCACACCAGGUCCAAGCCGAAUCUUCGCCCUUCACCACAGCUUAUGGCAACCCUGGGUCCUUAAGCCACUGAGUGAGGCCAGGGAUCGAACCCCAAUCCUCAUGGAUACUAGUUGAGUUCUUAACCCACUGAGCCACAACGGGACCUCCCGGCAUUCAUCUUUAUGUCCCUUUUGUUCCUAGUGCCUUUUUCGAUUCCAUGAGGCAUUUCACACUUCCCAGAGCCCUAGUGUGGCCAUAUUCAUUUUGCGUCUUAGCACAAUUCUCAUAAAGUCAGGCAAGACUGGUAGUAGUCGUAUUAAUAUUUUUCAUGUUGUACGAAAGACAAGCAUUCAACUUUCUCUGAUACCUAGGCUCCUGUUGCUCCAGUAUUCCUUCCAUUUUCUCUGCAAAGUGAAUGCCUGAGCACCAGUGAGGAAGCCGAAGCACUUGCAGAUGUCUAAAGGUCCUGAAACUGGGCUCUGGGGGGUCCAGGGUUGCUAUGGGGACCACCUGGCUUCUUCCCUCUUAACAUAGGAGGAAAUUAUUUUGUCCACCUGGUGGUGGAGGGAAAACUCCACAGCAGAGAAACCCAUCCUGCUUCUCAAGGACACUGAGGGAUGUUGAUGGGAAGAGGGAAAAGGCCCCUCCGGGUGCCGGAGGCAGGCGAGGCCAACCUCGGGGGUCCCCGCUGUGCGCCAGUGCUUCUUCAUGGACUGUCCUAAGGAAAUGUCGCUAUGGAGGUAGGGUUAGCAAUGGUCAUGCUUUGGGGCUAGACCUCAGGAACUGGCCUGAGGACAGGUGGGAAGAGAAUGGUACCCAUCACAGUUGGUUUCUCAUUUAAAACCAAACAAACAAAAACUUAGUAUCCCAUCAACAUUCUCAUUUACAGAGCCAGCACUGUCUCUGGAAUUGGAGACAGUUUCAAGUCAUAGGUCUCCACUUAGCAGUGGUGUCACUUUGGCAACUCACUUUGCCUGGAUGCGAUCCCAGUUCAUCUGCAGAACACAGAUAACACCUACCCUGCACAUCGUGGGGAAGAUAAAAAUAAUAUAUGUAAAAUACCUGGAAAAUAAGCAGCCCUCAAAUGAUAGCCAUAUUAUUCAUAAUCAAGGAAACAGGAGGCGAGGAUUUCUCAAG
rnacentral:lncRNA from 1 species